rnacentral:rRNA from 1 species
AGUGAACGCUGGCGGUAGGCCUAACACAUGCAAGUCGAACGGCAGCACAGUAAGAGCUUGCUCUUACGGGUGCGAGUGGCGGACGGGUGAGGAAUACAUCGGAAUCUACUUUUUCGGGGGGGAUAACGUAGGGAAACUUACGCUAAUACCGCAUACGACCUACGGGUGAAAGCAGGGGAUCUUCGGACCUUGCGCGAUUGAAUGAGCCGAUGUCGGAUUAGCUAGUUGGCGGGGUAAAGGCCCACCAAGGCGACGAUCCGUAGCUGGUCUGAGAGGAUGAUCAGCCACACUGGAACUGAGACACGGUCCAGACUCCUACGGGAGGCAGCAGUGGGGAAUAUUGGACAAUGGGCGCAAGCCUGAUCCAGCCAUACCGCGUGGGUGAAGAAGGCCUUCGGGUUGUAAAGCCCUUUUGUUGGGAAAGAAAAGCAGCAGGUUAAUACCCCGCUGUUCUGACGGUACCCAAAGAAUAAGCACCGGCUAACUUCGUG